AUUGAACGCUGGCGGCAGGCCUAACACAUGCAAGUCGAGCGAGCGGCGGACGGGUGAGUAAUGUCUGGGAAACUGCCUGACGGAGGGGGAUAACUACUGGAAACGGUAGCUAAUACCGCAUCCCAUCAGAUGUGCCCAGAUGGGAUUAGCUGGUAGGUGGGGUAACGGCUCACCUAGGCGACGAUCCCUAGCUGGGCUGAGAGGAUGACCAGCCACACUGUAACUGAGACACGGUCCAGCCUCUUACGGGAGGCAGCAGUGGGGAAUAUUGCACAAGGGGCGAAAGCCUGAUGCAGCCAUGCCGCGUGUGUGAAGAAGGCCUUCGGGUUGUAAAGCACGUGCAGCGGGGAGGCGUUACCCGCAGAAGAAGCACCGGCUAACUCCGGGCCAGCAGCCGCGGUAAUUC
rnacentral:rRNA from 1 species